GGUAUUAUAGCUCAGUGGUAGAGCAAGUGCUUAGCAUACAUGAGACCCUGGGUUAGAUAUCCAGGACUACCA
rnacentral:tRNA from 1 species